ACCAUAUCCCAUUUUUUUUCUCUUUUCUUUUAUCUUCUUAUUCUUUCACGUAUUCUUUGUUCUUCUUCUUCUUCUUAUUUUUCUUCCCUUCUUUCUGUUAUUCCGGCGAGAGAUUCAUGAGAUGUGAGUGAGGAGUGAUUAGAGAAUCUAGGUGAGGAAGAUGUAUAGAUUAUGGUGGAGUCGAGGUGUUGUUGAUUAAACUCAAAAGAUGAAACAGAGAAAGGAAUUAGGUUUUCUGUAAUUUGGAUGACGAAUUGAUCUUGAAACUGAUAACUAAGUUUGGGUUUGAAGAACGUGCUUUAAUGAAGAAGAUUAUGGGGUCAAUUUCAGGGUUUGUAUACCAAGAGGAUUUCAAUUAGAGAAAUCAGUUAAUUAGGUUUUCUACAUGUGGUACUAGAAUUCGAUUUGAGUAAGAAUUAAGAAGAUAUAGAAGGAAUUACAAGAUGGGUUUGUCCUUAAUUGGUGUUUAAUGGAAGUUGUGAAGUUGUUCUGAAGUUUGAUUAAGAAGUUGCAAAAUUAGGGUUCCUCAUGUUCUUUCUCAAAAUUAGAAGUUCUUCCCUAUGAUGAAUCCAAAGAAGAUUAAUGGUGGUGCUGGAGUUGAUUGAAGUCAGGAAACCGAGAGAAGGUAAAACAAUUAUAUUUAGAAUUAAAUUCAUCUUGUUCUGAAUUUGAAUUAUAUGUUUUGGUUUCUGAAUUAGGGUUCGAUAAAAUUUGUUAUGAACAUUGAAAUUAUUGUGGUUGUGGAGUUAUAAGUCAUUGGUGGUGUGUUAUUGAACUGAUAGGAAGAUUGUUGAAUUUAAAGGGAUAUAUGUAUGAACUGUGAUUGUGUUAAUAUGAGAUGGAAAUAGAGUUUGUUAUUGUAUUGAGUUGCUGGUGGUAAUGAAGUGGUUUUAAUUGAGAUGAGUUGCAACUGAGGUUAAAUUGCAGGUUGGAAAGAUGUGAUUAGAUAGUAAAACUGUGACUGUAGUGGAGGCGGUUUUGAUAGUAACGAGUUUGAGUAACUAUGGUUAAUAGUUUGAGUUUGAUCUUAACUGAAAUUGCAGGAGGUAUAUGAAUUUAUGAAGGUGUUUCCUGAAUUGAAGUUAGAGAAUGCAUAUGUUGUUAUGGUUGCAAUUAGUGAUAGCUUUAGUAGAAGCUUGUUGUUGUAGGUACUGAGUUUGGAGGAGUUGGUGGUGUUUUCUGUGAAGAUGAGUUGUGUGGCACAGAGGUUGGAAAAGUAAGUGGAAUUGAGGUUGCAAUAUGAUUGAGAAGUUGCUGGGAAUGGUUUGUUUGUGUUUGAAUUGGUGGAAUGAAGAAAGGUUAGAAUGGAUAUAGAGUUGUAAAUUGUGGUUGCUGCAAAAAUCUUAAAGUUGCAAUAAAGAUUCAUUAAAGUUGUCGAAAAGUUACGCGGAAUGGACUACUUGAACGUGUCAUUCAGACACUAGACGAAGAAUAAAUCAUCUGAGUUGUGUGGGGGGUAAAAUGGUCAUUUCACACUCAGACUUAUCAAGGAAGCCGAGUUAUCUUCUAUGAGAACCGAAGGUAUGCCCUUAUCUUUUGGUUGGGUGCCUUUAUGAUGGGCAGGUGGCCUUAUCACCAAGACGUGUCGAGGAGAGACACAUUCUCUUUUCUUAUUUCUCUUUAUUCUUCUUCUCGUCUCUUCUUUCUUCCCAUGUUCUUCAUCUUCUUGUUUUUCUUAUUCUGCUUCUCGCCUCUGGUGAUUCCGAGAAUUAAUUUGAUAGAAUCAAUUAAUGAAGAUUUUUCAGUCCUUAAAGGUGAGGGUGUUCUGGUUAAUUAAGAAGGAGGAGAGUUAGGGGUUUCUGUUUGAGGUGAUGUAGAGAGAAUCGAUUUAAGGUUCCAGAGUUGUUUGAGAUUUUAUUGAAUUGAUCUGUGUUUUGAGUAGCAGAUGGAUGAAGAAUGAGAGGGUUGGUGUUCAAUUGAAGUUUUGAAGUUGAGUUGUUGAAGAAUUAUAGAGUUAGGGUUCUGUGAAGAAGGAGAUAAGAUGGAAUAGGGUUUUGAGUUCCAUUUUAGGCUUGCAUGAGAUUGAGAGGAUGAAAUUGAUGUUCUAAGAUGUCGAAUUGAGAUGGAUUACGAGUGAUUGGAGGGAUUAGAGAGGAUUUACAGAUGCAGUUAUGUCCCGGAGGAUGAAAUUGAAGAGGGUGAUUGAUCAAUUAGGGUAACAGUAGAAUUGCUUUAGUGAGCCAGCAAUUGAGAAGAUGUCACUGCUUGGGUAAGCUUUUAAUUGUUUAACUUUGGUACUUUUGAGUUGAAUUGCUAAGAUUCAUUGAAGUUUUAUGUUUGGGAUUGAAUAUGAGUUUGGGAUGAUUAAGUAACGAAACAGUGAUUGUAUUUAGAAGUGAUAUUGUAGUAAAGAGAUUGUUGAGUUUGAAGUAGAGGUGAUAUUGGUGUGUACAUAGAAGUAUUGGGUUUGUGCUUACUGUAGUUGUUCCAGAUAAUGAUGUUGUUGGUAGUGCAGGUGGUGCUGCUUUUAGAAAUAGGUGAGGUUGUUGUUGCAGUAAGGGUGUUGGUGGAAUAUUAUAUUGGUGGUGUUGAGAUUGAAUGAACUGAACUGGUGGAUUUUUGAUGUGUGAGGUGAGUGUUGAAUUAAGAUAAAGAAGGAAGCAUAGUCAAUUGCUUAAAUGGAACCGUAUGAGGUAAUUACUUUCCGAGAAUCUAACUCAGUUAUUCAGUUUCAUUGUUUGAUUAUGUGUGAUUAUUAGUGGACUCACAGUUGAGUUAGAUGAAAGGGGAUAUAUGUAUGAACUGUAAUUUGUUGGCAGUGGCUGUGUAAGAUACAUGAUUUGGAAAUUAAUGAGCUGUAUAGAAUUGGGUUUGUGGUCAAUGAAGAUUUAGUGAUGCAGUGAAAUUGAGUUGCAGAUUAUUAUGUACUGCAUUCUGGGUUGCAGUUGUUGAAGUCUGAUUGUACUGGUGAACUUCUUGUAAGAAAGUCGUGUAUGGAGUAAGUUUAUAUAAAUGAGUUGUUGCAGAUAUUAGUGAUGGUUCUGUAUGUGAGAUGCGUAUGGAUGAAAGGGUGGAAUUCUUGAGUAUAAUAGUUAGUUAUUAACAACGACCGAUUCGAAGGAUGAACAAGUUGAUCGUGGAUCUCAAGGUAGGCGUGGCUUGUCAUCAAAAGAGUUAGUCUAUUAACAACGAUCGAUUCAAAGGAUGAACCAGUG